CGCAUUUGAAACUGGCAGGCUAGAGUCUUGUAGAGGGGGGUAGAAUUUCAGGUGUAGCGGUGAAAUGCGUAGAGAUCUGAAGGAAUACCAGUGGCGAAGGCGGCCCCCUGGACAAAGACUGACGCUCAGAUGCGAAAGCGUGGGUAGCAAACAGGAUUAGAUACCCUGGUAGUCCACGCCGUAAACGCUGUCUACUUGGAGGUUGAGGUUUAAGACUUUGGCUUUCGGCGCUAACGCAUUAAGUAGACCGCCUGGGGAGUACGGCCGCAAGGUUAAAACUCAAAUGAAUUGACGGGGGCCCGCACAAGCGGUGGAGCAUGUGGUUUAAUUCGAUGCAACGCGAAGAACCUUACCUACUCUUGACAUCCAGAGAACUUUCCAGAGAUGGAUUGGUGCCUUCGGGAACUCUGAGACAGGUGCUGCAUGGCUGUCGUCAGCUCGUGUUGUGAAAUGUUGGGUUAAGUCCCGCAACGAGCGCAACCCUUAUCCUUGUUUGCCAGCACAUAAUGGUGGGAACUCCGGGGAGACUGCCGGUGAUAAACCGGAGGAAGGUGGGGACGACGUCAAGUCAUCAUGGCCCUUACGAGUAGGGCUACACACGUGCUACAAUGGCAGAUACAGAGGGCAGCGAAGCUGCGAAGUGGAGCGAAUCCCUUAAAGUCUGUCGUAGUCCGGAUUGGAGUCUGCAACUCGACUCCAUGAAGUCGGAAUCGCUAGUAAUCGUGGAUCAGAAUGCCACGGUGAAUACGUUCCCGGGCCUUGCACACACCGCCCGU
rnacentral:rRNA from 1 species